rnacentral:sRNA from 1 species
GUUGUCCCGGCAACGCGCGGCGGCUCAGUGGCCUGGCAGAGGUUUCAGCGCUGAGCAGGCCUGAGUUCCGUCAUGGCCCUCUAUUUUGACCACCAGAUAGAAGCCUCAGAUGCAGCGGGGUCACCCUCAUACAUCAGCUGGCACCCUGUCCAUCCAUUCUUGGCAGUUGCUUACAUCAGCACAACCUCAACAGGCAGCGUGGAUAUUUACCUGGAGCAAGGGGAGUGCGUGCCAGAUACACAUGUCGAGAGGCCGUUCCGGGUUGCUUCCCUGUGCUGGCACCCGACGCGGCUGGUGCUGGCUGUGGGCUGGGAGGCUGGAGAAGUGACGGUGUUUAACAAGCAGGACAAGGAGCAGCACACGAUGCCCCUGACACACACAGCCGACAUCACCGUGCUCAAUUGGAGCCCCAGUGGAAACUGCCUGCUGUCUGGGGACAGGGUGAGUCAACACACGCAAGAUGCUGUUUUCAGACCUUGGCCUUUUCUGACCAUGCUCGAGAGUAUGAAAGAUCAAAAUAUGUGAACUGUGUUGUUGCCAAAUU